AUUGAACGCUGGCGGCAGGCCUAACACAUGCAAGUCGAGCGGAUGAACGGAGCUUGCUCCUGGAUUCAGCGGCGGACGGGUGAGCAAUUCCUAGGAAUCUGCCUGGUAGCGGGGGAUAACGUCCGGAAACGGGCGCUAAUACCGCAUACGUCCUGAGGGAGAAAGUGGGGGAUCUUCGGACCUCACGCUAUCAGAUGAGCCUAGGUCGGAUUAGCUAGUUGGUGGGGUAAAGGCCUACCAAGGCGACGAUCCGUAACUGGUCUGAGAGGAUGAUCAGUCACACUGGAACUGAGACACGGUCCAGACUCCUACGGGAGGCAGCAGUGGGGAAUAUUGGACAAUGGGCGGAAGCCUGAUCCAGCCAUGCCGCGUGUGUGAAGAAGGUCUUCGGAUUGUAAAGCACUUUAAGUUGGGAGGAAGGGCAGUAAGUUAAUACCUUGCUGUUUUGACGUUACCAACAGAAUAAGCACCGGCUAACUUCGUG
rnacentral:rRNA from 1 species